GAUGAACGCUGGCGGCGUGCUUAACACAUGCAAGUCGAACGAUGAAGCCCAGCUUGCUGGGUGGAUUAGUGGCGAACGGGUGAGUAACACGUGAGUAACCUGCCCUUAACUCUGGGAUAAGCCUGGGAAACUGGGUCUAAUACCGGAUAGGAGCGUCCACCGCAUGGUGGGUGUUGGAAAGAUUUAUCGGUUUUGGAUGGACUCGCGGCCUAUCAGCUUGUUGGUGAGGUAAUGGCUCACCAAGGCGACGACGGGUAGCCGGCCUGAGAGGGUGACCGGCCACUCUGGGACUGAGACACGGCCCAGACUCCUACGGGAGGCAGCAGUGGGGAAUAUUGCACAAUGGGCGCAAGCCUGAUGCAGCGACGCCGCGUGAGGGAUGACGGCCUUCGGGCUGUAAACCUCUUUCAGUAGGGAAGAAGCGAAAGUGACGGUACCUGCAGAAGAAGCACCGGCUAACUACGUG
rnacentral:rRNA from 1 species